CCUUGGGAUGUGACUCUAGUUUGAUUUUGUGAAAUACUUGAGAGGUGUAGGAUAAGUGAGAAUGAAAGACGAAAGUGAAAUACCACUACUUUUAACGUUAUUUUACUUAUUCUAUAAAUCGGAGGUGGGGGCACUGCCCCUCUUUUUGGACCCAAGGCUCGCUUCGCGGGCUGAUCCAGGCAGAAGAUAUUGUCAGGUAGGGAGUUUGGCUAGGGUGGCACAUCUAUUAAAAGAUAGCGUAGGUGUCCUAAGAUGAGCUCGACGACAACAGAAAUCUCGUGUGGAACAAAAGGGUAAAAGCUCAUUUGAUUUUGAUUUCUAGUACGAGUAUAAAUCAUGAAAGCAUGGCCUAACGUUCCUUUAGACCUUUAGAAUUUGAAGCUAGAGGUUUCAAAAAAGUUACCAUAGGGAUAACUGGCUUGUGACAACCAAGCGUUCAUAGCGACAUUACUUUUUUAUCCUUCAAUGUCAACUCUUCCUAUCAUUGUGAAGCAUAAUUAACUAAGUAGUAGAUUGUUCACCCACCAAUAGGGAACGUGAGCUAGGUUUAGACCGUCGUGAACCUU
rnacentral:rRNA from 1 species